CCUACGGGUGGCAGCAGUGAGGGAUAUUGGUCAAUGGCCGAGAGGCUGAACCAGCCAAGCCGCGUGAGGGAAGAAUGUCCUAUGGAUUGUAAACCACUUUUGCCAGGGAGCAAAGUCACCCACGUGUGGGUGUUGGCGAGGACCUGAAGAAAAAGCAUCGGCUAACUCCGUGCCAGCAGCCGCGGUAAUACGGAGGAUGCGAGCGUUAUCCGGAGUUAUUGGGUUAAAAGGGGGCGUAGGCGGGUUCUCAAGUCGGGGGUAAAAUCGGGAAGCUCAACUCCAUCCAGCCGUUGAAACUGAUGAUCUUGAGUGGGCGAGAGGUAUGCGGAAUGCCUGGUGUAGCGGUGAAAUGCGUAGAUAUCACGCGGAACUCCAGUUGCGAAGGCAGCAUACCGGCGCCCGACUGACGCCGAAGCACGAAAGCGUGGGUAGCGAACAGGAUUAGAUACCCGUGUAGUC
rnacentral:rRNA from 1 species